rnacentral:rRNA from 1 species
UACGUAGGGGGCAAGCGUUGUCCGGAAUUACUGGGCGUAAAGCGCGCGCAGGCGGCCUUUUAAGUCUCGUGGUGAAAUGCCGGGGCUCAACCCCGUGCCCGCCGGAGAUACUGGGAGGCUGGAGACGAGUAGAGGCAAGCGGAAUUCCGGGUGUAGCGGUGGAAUGCGUAGAGAUCCGGAAGAACACCGGAGGCGAAGGCGGCUUGCUGGGCUCGGUCUGACGCUGAGGCGCGAAAGCGUGGGGAGCGAACAGG